GUUAAAGCCGACAAGGCAGAUGCGUGAACCUGCAAGGUGUUGUAGCUCAGACCCUUCUCGAGGCCGGAUUGAAGAAAGUCUAAGAUAUUCCCUGUGGGGGCCGGAUUGAAGAAAGUCUAAGAUAUUCCCUGUGGAACAACACUGGAUCGAGACAUCCUUCGAGGAAGCCCAGGAAGAGAAAACAUCCCAGAUUCUAUAGUAUGCAUUAGAAGUGGAACGCUUCCUAGCCCUGAGUAGGGUGUCUACCACCAUAUGAGAGAAGCCCUUAUUCAACAGCCUUUCCCUUUCAACCUCCAUGCCAUCAGGUUUAGGGAGGACUGG